UCUGGGGCGUACGAUUUUUCGGAGCCGGUUCCGACGGUUUUUCCGGAACCCGUCCUGAGAUUCGAGCCGGGACGGGGAGGCAAAUUUGGGGAACAGUCACUGUCCUGUCCGGGAUGAUGAAUUUACUAUUGGAAGUGAAGCAGAUUUACAGCCUGGAAAAUGUAAUUGCUUUUUGAUAUCAAUUAAAGGACUGUUUCCAAAAUCAAUAAGAAUUUUAAAGAAUAGCGUGAACCUGAAUGAAUGAUAAAUAACCUGGAAGCAAUUUUAAAAUCUUGCAGUGAACAAUUCUCUUGAGCCCCAUGAAGGGCUUUAUGGGCCUUUGAGGAAUAAGAGGAUUUGCCUGUGAUGAAGACCUUCGGCUAGUGGUCAUUACUGUCCAUUUGUAGGGUGGCUGAAUCUCAUCAGCACCAUCUGGGGAAUCUGAAGGCCAGGAUAAGAGUUCUACCCCUCCCUUGCUGUGUCACAAAAAUUCCUUAUGUAAAGCAUUUACUGAAGGCCAGAUGUGGGCUUAGCAAUGUGAAAAUAUUGUAGGAGACCCACAAGGAAGAGCAAAAUAUAUCAAGCAUCAUUUCCACCCCAGGGAGUGCCCCAUCUGAAAGCAAGCUAUUUCUAGGAAUGUGUACUUCUCUGGUGCACUAGCUCAGGCAAGAGGAGAGCAGGGCUGGAAUAAACUACGCUCUCGCAACAAUCCAGGAUGACAUGAGAGCUUUUCAGUACUGUGGUGGGCUGAGGAGUUUGAAGUACAAGGUAGAGCUUUCUGGAAAAUCCUUUGAAGAACCAUUGAAAGGAUGAUCAGAAACCAUGUCUGAGAUAAACUGAGGUCCUAGAAAGAAGACAAAGGAAAAACUACAGUCUGGUGAGCAGAUACAUGGACAGACAUAUCUAAAUGAAGAAUCCAGGGCCUCCCCUGGUGGCGCAGGCAGUUGAGCACAGUACUGUGAAGCUGUCUGCAGCCUCUGCAGCGUGGGUUCGAUCCCAGCCGGCCAGCAAGGGUCCCAUAUGGCGUGACAGACCUCUCCUGCCGCACCCGCUGCUCCCCUCAGCAGUGUGUUUCGUCAGUCUGCCUGUUCUGUUCUCUGCUCUGUCUCUGGUGAAUCCUCUCACCCUCGUGCGCCUCUGGCCUGUA